rnacentral:misc_RNA from 1 species
UAGCCAACCAUCUCUAAAUUGUAAAGUUUCGCAAUGAAGACAAAAUGGCAUGUUUGUCAUGAUAUCAUAUGGAUUUAUUUUGAAGAAGCAAACAGUAGAUUAUACUUUGUUAUGAAUGAUAUAUGUCUAUUUAUAAACUUUACAUCGUUAUAAAUUAAUUCACUACCAGUACCUACCUCUGGGGGAUUGUGAGGAGGACAACUAACAUACUGGUACCACUUUUGAUUUUACCAUUCUAAAUUACUCUAGGUUUUACAUCAAUGUUUAAUAUACAUAAAAAUAAGUGUUAUCAAUGGGAUUCUUAUUUUAUUUAAUCACAGAAGAGUGCUGCCCAGCAUAAUAAGGUCAUUGAUAUUGAAAAGGGGGGGUCAAUUUGUGCAUAUUGUAAGCUAUGUAACUCAAAGUGAAAGUGUGAAACUUACUUGUCAUGAUCAAACAGGUCUUUCCAUUGUAGAUUUGUGUUGUAUCGAAAGUUUUAUUUGAUUUUAUUUGAUUUAUUUUUUUUCUGCAAAUUUAAUAAUGAGGUAGUGCAACAUAUUCUAAAUGUCAAGGGAAGAAAGGGACAGACUGAUAGAAAACUGAAUCCAAGUACAUGUAACUUUUACUAAUUUAGGAAACAUUGCAUUUUAUUUCAGUGAUCUCUGAAGUAGAUUGAAAUUUCCAUCAUUUUGCUUAACAGAAUAUGAUUCAGGUUCAUGGGUGUGAUAGAGUACGCAUGGUAUAAUUGUUUGUUUACAGAUACACAGAUUUUUUCUAUUGCACUUAAGUAGGAUUAUUUCAAUGUUGUGAUACUAUUGUACAACAGUUGGUAGUAUUGUGUGACUGUACAGUUUGAAAGUGAGGGUAAUGCAUGUUGAGAAGUUGAGUACAUUGAGAGUAUUUGUUUUUGCCCUUGUUUAUGAAUAAAUUAUUUAUAUA